GACGAACGCUGGCGGCGUGCUUAACACAUGCAAGUCGAACGCUGAAGCUUGGUGCUUGCACUGGGUGGAUGAGUGGCGAACGGGUGAGUAAUACGAGAGUAACCUGCCCUUGACUCUGGGAUAAGCCUGGGAAACUGGGUCUAAUACUGGAUACGACAUGUCACCGCAUGGUGGUGUGUGGAAAGGGUUUUACUGGUUUUGGAUGGGCUCACGGCCUAUCAGCUUGUUGGUGGGGUAAUGGCUCACCAAGGCGACGACGGGUAGCCGGCCUGAGAGGGUGACCGGCCACACUGGGACUGAGACACGGCCCAGACUCCUACGGGAGGCAGCAGUGGGGAAUAUUGCACAAUGGGCGGAAGCCUGAUGCAGCGACGCCGCGUGAGGGAUGACGGCCUUCGGGUUGUAAACCUCUUUCAGCACGGAAGAAGCGAAAGUGACGGUACGUGCAGAAGAAGCGCCGGCUAACUACGUG
rnacentral:rRNA from 1 species